AGGCUGUCCGUCUCAGUGUUCAGGGAAAGGCCGAUGUGUCAAUUCAAGCUGUGAAUGUCUGGAUGGCUGGUCAGGGGCCGACUGCAGCAAAGGAUCUUGCGGGAACUGCUCUUUCGGCGAAUGUGUGUCUGGCUUCUGCGAGUGUGUGCUCGGAUGGGAAGGCACAGCCUGUGAUCAAAAGGCAACGUGCGAUAAUGUGAACAACUGCACAAGCCCGGCUAACGGAGCGUGUAAGACAACAGACGUCUGCGAAUGUACUCCUGGCUUUAUCG